UGUGACACACAAUUGCAUCCUAUGGCCUGUGCAUCAAGACGUAGGACUCUCGGCUCCUUCUCUAGAACCAUAUCUGACUGCACACUGCCAUGUCCCACCACGAAGAUAAUGGACUAAACCUCUGAAACUGUGGCAAAGCUGGGGACGGGUGUGACAGAACCGGACUUCCUACUCCAAGGCUCCCCAUUGUCCUGUUGUAAGCAGGUCCUCUUCCUGCGGACUUCCUGCACCAGCUGGCCUCCUUUUACUGUCUUCACUUUACCGGUGGCAAAAGGAACUCAGAACAGUGAAACCACUUUAGCAAGAUCUCAGCUGAUAUGGGAAACUCCUAGGACUACAGCAAACUCUGCUUGCCUGGAAACCCUGCAAUCUUCUUCCUUUUCAA